rnacentral:rRNA from 1 species
UACGUAGGGGGCAAGCGUUGUCCGGAAUCAUUGGGCGUAAAGCGCGUGUAGGCGGUUCAGUAAGUCUGCUGUGAAAGUCCAGGGCUCAACCCUGGGAUGCCGGUGGAUACUGCUGGACUAGAGUGCGGAAGAGGCGAGUGGAAUUCCCGGUGUAGCGGUGGAAUGCGCAGAUAUCAGGAGGAACACCGAUGGCGAAGGCAGGUCACUGGGCCGCAACUGACGCUGAGGAGCGAAAGCAUGGGGAGCGAACAGG